UACUUUUAAUUUACAAAUCUGAUUUUUGUUGCUCUAAAUUCCUUCUAUAACAAGACUCCCUUACCAAUAAUUAGGGCACAGAUAAAAGGGAGAAAAGGCACAAACUGCUAAAAAUCCAGAUUUCCAAAAAGAUUUCCUAAGAAAUUUUUAGUUUCUUUCUAUUUUCUGGGGUCUUGGCUAAGGGUUUCAGGGAUUAGAACAAGUUUUAUGGGUUGAUUCACUGCUGGUCCUGUUUGAGUUGAGCUAGAAGCUACAAUAUUUGGUUCUCUAGGCUUUUCUGCUGCUGACCUGCUGUAGGCUUAUUCAGUAGCUGAUUUCUUUGAUCUUAUUCGGCAAAGUUCAGUUUUGUUUUUCAAGCUUAGGUUUCGCCUGAAUGAUGGCUAAGCUAUUGCCUAGUGUUGAAGCAUACAUGGCUGUUGUUUCAGUGUAUAGUUUAGCAAGUUAGCUUCAUUAAUAAAUUGCUUUUGAGAGCACUUGAUUGUUGUAAAAAUUAAAAUGGCAACUGAUUCUUGUUCUAAAUCGUGAUUAAUGGGAUUUGAAAUUAAGGUUGUAUUUAAUUA